rnacentral:misc_RNA from 1 species
GAUGAAGAACGUAGCGAAAUGCGAUAAGUAAUGUGAAUUGCAGAAUUCAGUGAAUCAUCGAAUCUUUGAACGCACAUUGCGCCCGCCAGUAUUCUGGCGGCAUGCCUGUUCGAGCGUCAUUUCAACCAUCAAGCCCCCGGCUUGUGUUGGGGACCUGCGGCUGCCGCAGGCCCUGAAAACCAGUGGCGGGCUCGCUAGUCACUCCGAGCGUAGUAAUACAUCUCGCUCAGGGCGUGCUGCGGGUUCCGGCCGUUAAAAAGCCUUAUUUACCCAAGGUUGACCUCGGAUCAGGUAGGAAGACCCGCUGAACUUAAGCAUAUCAAUAAGCGGAGGA